rnacentral:lncRNA from 1 species
AUGAACAAGACAGAGUUGUGAGAGGAUUCUAGGUAAAGCAAAGCAAGGUAAACUGCCAAAUAUCCCCAUCUCAUAUCAUAACCAAUGAGCUCUCUGAAUUCACACUGAGGUUUAAAUGUAAAAUAACCAAGGGGCUUUUGACUUAAUUUUGCAUAUAGACCCCUCAGCCAUCACCCAAAAGUGUUAUCAAGCCAUCUAGGCAAAUAAAUAGUCUUAACAAAAAUAAAGUUGAAAAAAUAAAAUUGUUCCCAUUUAUUCCAACAACUAAGGGCCCAACGAUUUGGGGUCACCAAGUGUCUAGCCACAAGAUUGGCAAGCUGCUUGGGACUAUGGUGAGGCAGAGUAAAAUCCAACUGCUGUAGUACAAGUAGGACAACAUGUUAGCUCUGCUCAGUGAGAAGACAAUUACAUUGAAAGGACAGCCGUAGAUUAGGGAGUGAUACAUAGGUCAUUACAAGAGGAAAUUGAGGCUUGUAUACAGCAAACAUGGACUUAUCAUGAGGAAAAUCAAGAUGAGCUUAUUUUCAGGUACUGAACUGACCUCCUUUACGCUGCUGUAAAAGAUUCUGGGACUGUGCAAGUUCCUCACUGCAGCUAUGCCUUCAAGAGGACCUUGCCCAUGAAGAAUAUCAGCAGCUGGUGGUCUUUGCAGAUGGCCAUGUAUCUACCUCUCACCUUUUUGUUGUUGUUGUUGUUGUUGUUGUUGGGUAGGAUUGGAUAGGAAACCUAACUGGGUGACUUCUCUUCUCAAAGAAUUGAAAGAGGACUGUGAUAAUACCAAGAAAAAACAUAGAAAAGCCUUUUAGAAGAAACUAUUGAUGGCCUUAUUGAAAUGGACUUCCAAAGACUGGUGGUCAGACUUCCCCAGGAAUUUUUGCUCCAGGCCAGAAUAGUUGAGGUGGUUU